rnacentral:rRNA from 1 species
UGCAGUCGACGGCAGCACGGGUGCUUGCACCUGGUGGCGAGUGGCGAACGGGUGAGUAAUACAUCGGAACAUGUCCUGUAGUGGGGGAUAGCCCGGCGAAAGCCGGAUUAAUACCGCAUACGAUCUACGGAUGAAAGCGGGGGACCUUCGGGCCUCGCGCUAUAGGGUUGGCCGAUGGCUGAUUAGCUAGUUGGUGGGGUAAAGGCCUACCAAGGCGACGAUCAGUAGCUGGUCUGAGAGGACGACCAGCCACACUGGGACUGAGACACGGCCCAGACUCCUACGGGAGGCAGCAGUGGGGAAUUUUGGACAAUGGGCGAAAGCCUGAUCCAGCAAUGCCGCGUGUGUGAAGAAGGCCUUCGGGUUGUAAAGCACUUUUGUCCGGAAAGAAAUCCUUGGUUCUAAUAUAGCCGGGGGAUGACGGUACCGGAAGAAUAAGCACCGGCUAACUACGUGCCAGCAGCCGCGGUAAUACGUAGGGUGCAAGCGUUAAUCGGAAUUACUGGGCGUAAAGCGUGCGCAGGCGGUUUGCUAAGACCGAUGUGAAAUCCCCGGGCUCAACCUGGGAACUGCAUUGGUGACUGGCAGGCUAGAGUAUGGCAGAG